rnacentral:misc_RNA from 1 species
GAUGAAGAACGUAGCGAAAUGCGAUACGUAAUGUGAAUUGCAGAAUUCAGUGAAUCAUCGAAUCUUUGAACGCACAUUGCGCCUGCCAGCACUCUGGCAGGCAUGCCUGUUCGAGCGUCAUUUCAACCAUCAAGCCCUAGGCUUGCGUUGGAGCCCUGCGGCUGCCGCAGGCCCCUAAAAGCAGUGGCGGGCUCGCUAUCACACCGAGUGCAGUAGAUUACUCUUCGCUCAGGGCGUGUGGCGGGUUCCAGCCGUGAAACCCCCUACUUCUAAAGGUUGACCUCGGAUCAGGUAGGAAUACCCGCUGAACUUAAGCAUAUCAAUAAGCGGAGGA